UAUCUAUACUAUUAAACGAGAAGACCUCAUUUUGUGUGUCGCUUCUCUUCUUUCCACAAUAAAGUAAUCAUCAUGCCUCUGUGUUCUUUAGGUACAGUGCAUAGUCGCAUUUGUCAUCCAUUUUUAUGAUUAUUCAGAUUGAGUUAUUUUGGGAGAAAAACAAGAAAAAACGCAUCCGGAUAUUGAUUCCGUCAUUGGGCGAAAUUUUAAGUCAUAUUAGAUUUCCGGUUUGCGUUUUUCUGUAUUCUUUGAACAUACAUAUACUACGAAUAAAGUGUAUUUUCUAUCUGCUAUUUUUUUUUAAGUUUACUAUCCACGGCGGUCACAGAGUUAACUAAAGAGAGAGAGAGUCUGUAUAAUAUAGAAAUGACCGCCGUGGAUCGAUAAAUAACCUGAGAAUUGAAAGUAAAAAGCAAAUACACUUUAUUUAUAGUAAUGAAUGUUCAGCGCUAAAAGUAUGCAUGUGUUAUUAAUGUUAAUAGAAAUAAAAAAAAAAUGGGAAUUUUUUAAAAAUAAAGGAGGAGCAGGGCUAGGAAAACAAUACACAUUAAAGCUAAUCCCGGCUGACCGGGCCGCUUGAAAUUUUGACGCAUACAACAACCACUUUUCCAUUGUGGCGUCAGAUAUUUUGUAUUGUGACGUCAAAGUUUUGCGGGAACCUGUGUGAUAGCCAGUAAUGGCGGACAAAUAGCAAUAAGGUGUAUUGUCCUGUCCCAAAGCACCUGACUUUUGAUACCUUUUCUGAAAUUCUCCAUCAAUUAAAUUUUUUACAAAAAUUCAUUAUAACAAAAAAAAAAGAAGGUGUGGUAUGAUUGCCAAUGAGACA
rnacentral:lncRNA from 1 species